rnacentral:rRNA from 1 species
UGGGGAAUAUUGGACAAUGGGGGCAACCCUGAUCCAGCAAUGCCGCGUGUGUGAAGAAGGCCUUCGGGUUGUAAAGCACUUUUAUCGGGAACGAAACAUUGUCGGCCAAUACCCGGCAAGACUGACGGUACCCGAGGAAUAAGCACCGGCUAACUCCGUGCCAGCAGCCGCGGUAAUACGGAGGGUGCAAGCGUUAAUCGGAAUUACUGGGCGUAAAGCGUGCGCAGGCGGUUUGUUAAGUCUGCUGUGAAAUCCCCGAGCUCAACUUGGGAAUUGCAGUGGAUACUGGCAAGCGUGAGUACGGUAGAUGAAGGUGGAAUUCCCGGUGUAGCAGUGAAAUGCGUAGAGAUCGGGAGGAACAUCUGUGGCGAAGGCGACUGCCUGGACCAGCACUGACACUGAGGCACGAAAGCGUGGGGAGCAAACA